UACGGGGGGGGGCAAGCGUUGUUCGGAAUUACUGGGCGUAAAGGGCGCGUAGGCGGCCCUCUAAGUCAGACGUGAAAUCCCACGGCUUAACCGUGGAACUGCGUCUGAUACUGGAUGGCUUGGAUUUGGGAGAGGGAUGCGGAAUUCCAGGUGUAGCGGUGAAAUGCGUAGAUAUCGUAAGGAAGACCAGUGGCGAAGGCGGGUCUCUGGACAGUUCCUGACGCUGAGGCACGAAGGUCAGGGGAGCAAACGGGG
rnacentral:rRNA from 1 species